rnacentral:rRNA from 1 species
AUUGAACGCUGGCGGCAUGCCUUACACAUGCAAGUCGGACGGCAGCACGGGAGCAAUCCUGGUGGCGAGUGGCGAACGGGUGAGUAAUAUAUCGGAACGUGCCCAGUCGUGGGGGAUAACGCAGCGAAAGCUGUGCUAAUACCGCAUACGAUCGAAGGAUGAAAGCGGGGGAUCGCAAGACCUCGCGCGAUUGGAGGGGCCGAUAUCAGAUUAGCUAGUUGGUGGGGUAAAGGCCCACCAAGGCGACGAUCUGUAGCUGGUCUGAGAGGACGACCAGCCACACUGGAACUGAGACACGGUCCAGACUCCUACGGGAGGCAGCAGUGGGGAAUUUUGGACAAUGGGCGCAAGCCUGAUCCAGCAAUGCCGCGUGCAGGAUGAAGGCCUUCGGGUUGUAAACUGCUUUUGUACGGAACGAAACGGCCCUUUCUAAUACAGGGGGCUAAUGACGGUACCGUAAGAAUAAGCACCGGCUAACUACGUGCCAGCCGCCGCAGUAAUAC